rnacentral:rRNA from 1 species
UACGGGGGGGGCAAGCGUUGUUCGGAAUUACUGGGCGUAAAGGGCUCGUAGGCGGCCAACUAAGUCGGACGUGAAAUCCCCAGGCUCAACCUGGGAACUGCGUCCGAUACUGGAUGGCUUGAAUUCGGGAGAGGGAUGCAGAAUUCCAGGUGUAGCGGUGAAAUGCGUAGAUAUCUGGAGGAAUACCGGUGGCGAAGGCGGGUCUCUGGACAGUUCCUGACGCUGAGGCACGAAGGCCAGGGGAGCAAACGGG